GAUGAAGAACGCAGCGAAAUGCGAUAAGUAAUGUGAAUUGCAGAAUUCAGUGAAUCAUCGAAUCUUUGAACGCACAUUGCGCCCGCCAGUAUUCUGGCGGGCAUGCCUGUUCGAGCGUCAUUACAACCCUCAGGCCCCCGGGCCUGGCGUUGGGGAUCGGCGGAAGCCCCCUGCGGGCACAACGCCGUCCCCCAAAUACAGUGGCGGUCCCGCCGCAGCUUCCAUUGCGUAGUGGCUAACACCUCGCAACUGGAGAGCGGCGCGGCCACGCCGUAAAACACCCAACUUCUGAAUGUUGACCUCGAAUCAGGUAGGAAUACCCGCUGAACUUAAGCAUAUCAAUAAGCGGAGGA
rnacentral:misc_RNA from 1 species